rnacentral:lncRNA from 1 species
GGGGACUGGGACACUUACUAGACAUAUGAUGGCUAUCCAUCCCAUAGAAUGGGGAAAUAAUGGGGAUGGAAGUUAAACAACUAUUAACCCUACUACUGGAGGUUAUUUAUUAAAGUGGCCUUGAUUUAUUUUCAGUUGAGAUCACUCAUGUUAGAAGAGCAGUUGGUGUUAUUCAGGGAAAUAAUAGACAAUCUAGAAUAAAAGAAUUUAAGACUAAGUGUAUCCAGUAUAACCUUACACCUAGAUUCAUGCCAGACGAAAU